GGGAGGUAGUGACAAUAAAUAACAAUACAGGGUUCUUUCGGGUCUUGUUAUUGGAAUGAGUACGAUUUAAAUCUCCUAACGAGGAACAAUUGGAGGGCAAGUCUGGUGCCAGCAGCCGCGGUAAUUCCAGCUCCAAUAGCGUAUAUUAAAGUUGUUGCAGUUAAAAAGCUCGUAGUUGAAUUUCGGGAUUAGUACGCUGGUCGUGCCUUCGGUACGUACUGGUGUUACUGAUUUCUACCUUCUGACGAACCAUCAUGUCAUUAAUUUGGUGUGGUGGGGAAUCAGGACUGUUACUUUGAAAAAUUAGAGUGUUUAAAGCAGGCUCGCGCUUGAAUACAUUAGCAUGGAAUAAUGAAAUAGGACGUUGAUCCUAUUUUGUUGGUUUCUAGGAUUGACGUAAUGAUUAAUAGGGAUAGUUGGG
rnacentral:rRNA from 1 species